GAGCGCUCUGGGGCCAGCUGCUGGGGAGCAAGGAGGUCAGCAGGCCGGGUGGCCGGGAAGGCAGCUCCUAGGCCCGCCCCCCCGCCAGCACCAGCUCCUCUUCUGUCAUCUAGAAAGUCCUUGCUUUGUGACGCCAUCUCCGUCCAGAAUUGCCACCGGGCCCCGGCCCCCACUCCAACAUUGACCCUUUACCCUCAUCCCCAUCUAGGAUCUUUCUUCUGCACUCCCCCCAACGUGUAGCCUCACUGUCGGUCGGGUCACAGACUUCUCCACUCCCUGUCCUUCCCCCUCCUCAUCCUCCCGCGGGCCCGCUCCAUGUCCCUACGCCACGUGUGCCUAGUCCAGGGAGAAGAUCUGGAUGCAGCAGACAAUAGCUGACAGGGUGCAGAUGACGGCGGCACAGACGGUGAGCCCGCAGACACUGAAGAGCAAGUUCUGGAAGAAAGAGAAAGACGAUGGGAGAGGGGUCCCCCGCCCCCCCGUCCUGGGCCCACGAGGCAAAGUCUCACCAUGGAGCAGUCUUGGAAGUCUCGGGCCAGCUGAGCGUUCUUACAGGAGAGAACAGAGCCGGCCAUGCUGAGCAUGAC